GGUGCCAUAGCUCAGUUGGUAGAGCAAUGGACUGAAAAUCCAUGUGUCCCUGGUUCGAUCCCGGGUGGCACCA
rnacentral:tRNA from 1 species